rnacentral:rRNA from 1 species
GACGAACGCUGGCGGCGUGCCUAAUACAUGCAAGUCGAACGCAGUGGGGACGGGUGAGUAACACGUGGGUAACCUCCCAUCAGAGGGGAUAACACUUGGAAACAGGUGCUAAACCGAUACUGAUGGAUGGACCCGCGGUGCAUUAGCUAGUUGGGGAGGUCAAGGCUCACCAAGGCCACGAUCCAUCGGCGACCUUGGAGGGGUAUCAGCCACACUGGGACUGAGACACGGCCCAGAAUCCUACGGUGGGCAGCAGUAGGGAAUCUUCGGCAAUGGACGAAAGUCUGACCGAGCAACGCCGCGUGAGUGAAGAAUGUUUUCGGAUCGUAAAACUCUGUUGUUAGAGAAGCGGUAUCUAACCAGAAAGCCACGGCUAACUACGUGCCAGCAGCCGCGGUAAUUC